rnacentral:rRNA from 1 species
AGGAAGGUGGGGAUGACGUCAAGUCAGCAUGGCCUUUAUAUCCUGGGCUACACACACGCUACAAUGGGAAGGGACAAUAGGUUGCGAAGCCGCGAGGCGGAGCCAAUCCAGCAAAACUUCCCUCAGUUCAGAUUGCAGGCUGCAACUCGCCUGCAUGAAGUUGGAGUUGCUAGUAAACGCAGGUCAGCCAUACUGCGUUGAAUACGUUCCCGGGGCUU